CACUCGGAAAAAUACGUGAAGAGAAAUUAGAUAAUCAACAUUGCCCCAGAUCUUUACAAUGAUGAGAGUACUUUGCAGCUGGUGUCACGUUGCACUUAUACCACUAUGCCAUAUAUGGCGCUAAAAGGGGGAGAAAUUGUGAUUUUUUUUUUUAGGAAUUUAUGCGUUUAAAAGGCACGUUGGAAGCACUUCCGGGUUGUUCGCUUCUCGAGUUGGCUCCCACCGUAGGGUUUUCCGCAAAGAUAAUGCAACUAUAACUAAUUGUAGUCACUAAGAAACAUUCGAGCCACCACAGUCUUUCACCGACCUGCAAAAACAUGUUUCCACGUAACUUUGCGUGGGGAGCUGCGACUGCAGCAUAUCAAAUUGAAGGGGGUUGGCAGGCGGACGGCAAGGGUCCAAGCAUCUGGGACACAUUUUGUCAUGAGGAAGGUCGCGUGUGCGGGGCGCAGACGGGUGAUGUGACCUGCAACAGCUAUGAAUUGUGGGAAAAAGACCUCAAAUGUAUCCAGCAACUUGGACUGACGCACUACCGCUUCUCUCUCUCCUGGGCCCGCCUCCUUCCUGACGGGACCACAAGAACUGUCAAUCAAAAAGGUGUCCAGUACUACAACAAGGUGAUAGAUGACUUACUCUCAUGUGACGUGUCCCCUAUGGUCACCCUCUACCACUUCGACCUGCCUCAGGCACUCCAGGAGCGCGGAGGCUGGAAAGCGUCGGCCAUCGCCGCCCUCUUUGACGGCUACGCUCGCUUUUGUUUCCAAACGUUCGGGGACCGUGUCAAACUCUGGCUCACCCUCAACGAGCCGUACGUGUGCGCCAAGCUCGGCCACGAGGACGCCGCCCACGCGCCGGGCCUGAAAGAAGCGGGAACUACGGCUUAUGUGGUGGCUCACAACAUGUUACGUGCCCACGUCAUGGCUUGGCACAGCUACAACUCGCUCUACAGGCCAAAGCAGGGUGGUGCGGUGUCCCUGGCCCUCAACAGCGACUGGUUCGAGCCGUUGCGUCCCGAGAACGCCUCGGAUGUCGCCGCUUCCGAUCGUGCCCUGGCGUUCACCUUGGGAUGGUUCGCAUGGCCCCUCUUCGUCACCGGCGAUUACCCGGACGUGAUGAGGGCGGCCAUCGAUGCUCAAAGCAGAAAGAUGGGCUACAAAGGCGAGCCGCGACUUCCCUCCUUCUCCGAGGAUGAGCCGUCAGCGUUAGGCACGGCCGACUUCUUCGCCUUGAACUAUUACACAUCCCGGAAGGUCAAACACGGAUGCGUCGGCGAGCGGCGGAUGUGCAUGAAGUGCGACCGGGACGCGGAGGACAUUUUGGAUCCCAGUUGGAGCAUUUGUGGCGCGCCCUGGUUGGCUGUGGUGCCGUGUGGCUUGCGGAAGCUCCUCAACUACAUCAAGGGCACAUUUGGUGACCCAGUGGUCUACAUCACAGAAAAUGGCUUCUGUCAAGCAGGGCCGUUGGUGAUGGAGGAUGCUCAGCGUGGCGAGUUUUACAGGGAAACUAUCCAGGAAGUGGAAAAAGCUGUCAGAGAAGAUGGCGUCAACGUCCGCGGAUACUUUGCCUGGUCGCUUCUGGAUAACUUCGAGUGGGCCGACGGAUUCGAUCUUCGCUUUGGGUUGUUCCACGUGGACUUUUCUGACCCCGAGAGGAGGCGAACGAUAUACCGCUCCGGGUUGGAGUAUGCGCAGAUCAUCUCAAAAUACAAAGCUGAGCACUCCAAAUAAGGACAGUCAACUCAUCCAGUGUGCUUAUUGCAAAUUAUUGGAAAGGAGCUAACGCAGAGCAGUGCUGUUUUUCAGUCAGGUGUGGCCUUUCACGGACUGCGUCAUGUCAGUGUCGCACAUGUUAGCAAGUAACUGACCAAACCCCCAAAAAAGUGAUUGGGAACAAACUCCCCACAGCUGCGACGCAGUCAUUUCCAGAUUUAUGCACGGCAACAAGAGAGACGGCGGCCUUUUCUUCCAGGACGGAAUGUGCCGCUAAUGUCGGCGAUGCAACAGGCUACGACUUCACUUCACACCGACAGCGAUUGAGGAAUGUGCUGAACCGUCGUUCUCCAGCUGUCAUGAGGGAAGCCGGCCAGGUUUUACACCAUUUAUUACUUUUUGUCUUUUUGCCCACUCAGGGCAUUGCUAAGCAAACAGCUGCUUCAUCGAGCAAGACACAGGGGCAAGAUUUUCUUUGGUGCGGUGUUUGUGUCCCACUAAAUAGUCCACUCGUGCUAACGUUGUCUCCUCAGGGGAGGGGGGGUGGAUGUUCCGCUGCGGCUGUCAUCACCGUUGUCUGCAACACCCAUUCGCGUCGUUUCUUUGCAUAAAGACAAACGGGGGCGUUGUGAGCAGUUGCGACACCUCACGUUGAAUAUCUUUUUGAUGAUAGAGGAACUCAUUUGGAGUAGUUCUUACAGCUGGGGAAAGGCUGAAAUGACCUUCGCGCAAAAGCAUCCACCUCCUGUUCGGGAUUUC